rnacentral:rRNA from 1 species
CCUACGGGCGGCAGCAGUGAGGAAUAUUGGUCAAUGGGCGGAAGCCUGAACCAGCCAAGUCGCGUGAGGGAUUAAGGCCCUGCGGGUCGUAAACCUCUUUUGCCGGGGAGCAGAGGUCCGGACGUGUCCGGGCCGGGAGAGUACCCGGAGAAAAAGCAUCGGCUAACUCCGUGCCAGCAGCCGCGGGAAUACGGAGGAUGCGAGUGUUAUCCGUAUUUAUUGGGUUUAAAGGGUGCGUAGGCGGGCAUUUAAGCCGGCGGUCAAAUGUCGGGGCUCAACCCCGGCCUGCCGUCGGAACUGGGUGCCUUGAGUGGGCGAGAAGUAUGAGGAAUGCGUGGUGUAGCGGUGAAAUGCAUAGAUAUCACGCAGAACCCCGAUUGCGAAGGCAGCAUACCGGCGCCCUACUGACGCUGAGGCACGAAAGUGCGGGUAUCGAACAGGAUUAGAUACCCCAGUAGUC